AUGGCUUCAGUGAGUGAGACACCCUGGACACACACACACACACACACACACACACACGGAGAGAGAGAAAAAAUGAUAGACUACAAUUUGUAUAUAUAUAGAGAGAUUUUUCUUGUGAUUCCUGCUUAUGUGUAUUUUUACCUCAUAGGGCUGCGUGGUUCUGUUUGCCAAGGUUCUUCUCGUCAAAAUCUGCACUGGAAGCCUCCUCCACUAAGGAGCUGCAAUAUUGGUCCUGCCGAUUCUGAAGCAGUGGUUGGAGGGCAAAGAAAUAAGAAGCCAUGAAGUUUUAUUUGAAUUGAAGCUAUGUAAUCUGCGUUUGGCUGCUUCUGUGUGUGAGUGAUUCCAGUAUAUAAUUUAAUACGGUCUUGAGGCAAGAGCAGAUAUGUUGCUUAGAUGACUUUUUUUUUCUAUUCCCUGGCUGCUCUCAUCUAUACUUCUUUGAAGUAAACCAUGCCUCCUCUGACCUCUCAUGCAUAUUAUCUCUGCUAACUGGUUUCAGACAUCCCUCUUUGAUUCACCCUUUCCCUUACACUGUCCUCUUGUGCAGUGUUCCAGUCAAGUUUGCCCCAUCUACCUGCCUUCCAGGAAAUACAUCAUACCCAUAUUCUUAAUGCUUGCAACCAUGAACUGUCUUUUAUUUUGAAAGCAAAAGCAUUCACAAACAGUCCUCUUUACUUUGGUAUUUAGUAGUGGCUUGUGAAGUGCUGGCUCUAAACUUCAGACUUUUCAGGAUGUGUCAGAAACCAGU
rnacentral:lncRNA from 1 species